UGACUAUGAUGAUGGUGAUGAUAAUGAUACUCAAUUGGGUCACAGAAAAGUUUUAGCAACGCUUUCAACAUUUAGUAAAAUCUGAACCAAGACUAUUAAUACACAAAUUCAUACAAGAAAAAGAGCUCUACUGCUCAAGCUGAGCAUACCAAAUUCCCUGGAUCUUGACCUCCUUUGGAGUCUUUGCUCCCAGAUCAGUAUCAGAUGGCUGAACGCUCUCAAACACUCCAAUAACCUCUCCAGUCGAAGGAUUGCUUCCAGUGACACUAAGGGUAAUUUUCCCUGUUGAUGACGAAGUAUUCUUAAUGUUCUCCUUAGCUAGUUCCUCCUCGUCUCCUCUGCCUCCGGCGGGCAAGGCAACUGCACUGUCAUAACCGCUAGAGCCACCUCUUCCCUUUGGGUCCAAGAAAGAUGAACCACGGUAGGAUGGUACAAGAAACUCUCCGCCAAAGCUCUCUGGUUUCCCUGUUGCCACCAGCUGUUUAAUGGUGAAAAGGAAAGGCACACGUUCACCACCAGGAAGCUGCACCGUUACAGCAGCAUAAUCUAUUCCAUCUUUCUCCUCAAACUUCAAACUUCCAUCAGGGGAGACUUCGAAAGGUCCCUCAAUCUCGUCGAGAGUGUAGGUCAAGCGUGUCAUGAGCUUAGUGUUUUGGAACUCAGGUGGGGAUUUCUUGGCUACACUUUCUGCCUUGACAGUGAACGAAGUAGGCUCUAGGCAGAACUUCUUGGCAUUGUAUUUGCCAGGUUUGAAGGCAAAUUUGUCCACCCCACCUUCAAUGCUUGGGCAUUGGUUUGCUGUACCAGUUCCCUUUACUUCCAUAUAUGUCUUGCUUUGGAUUUCAUCAUAAGUUAGCCUCUUUGGGACUCCCUCAGCACUUGCUCCCGAAACGACAAGAGCAGAAGUAGCAAGAGCAAAUCCAGCAAGCUUAGUAGCAUCAACACACUUUUGAGCCAAGUCCUUAAGGUCAGAUUGCAAGGAGCAAGCGAUCCUAGCAUUAGUAGGGUCCAACCCAAAAGCCUUAGACACACUCUUAGAAGAUCUGAGCUGAAGGCUGCUGGUCCUGGCAGGCGCCCAACCUACCUUAGUGGGUUGCAUAUGUGUGGCUGCUGCUUGUAGUGAGGCUGCCAUAGUUUACUCUCCUUGCUUCUUCCUCCUCUGCGUCAGUAUCUCUUGUGGAAAUGUAUUUGCCUAUCGAUAACAAGGAAUAAAUGUGUUUUUUUUUGC
rnacentral:misc_RNA from 1 species